GAAAUUUGCAAAGUGAAAAAGGAAAAAUUAUUACACAUUUUCAAUAAUAGCUCAUCCAAUGACAUUUACAGAAUUUCGAAUCGAAAGUACAUACUUGAUACACAACUAAAAAUUGAAGAGAAAACUGGAGCAAAGGCCAAUCCGCCACCGGACCUCGAACAGAAACCUCAACGGACUAUCAACAACCUCGGCAAUGAUUUAAACCAGCUUCGAACCUCAGCUCACAUCCAUUUUUUCAAACCAAAUCCGAAAUCAAAGAUGAUAAACAACAUUUUUUGAGAAAACGACCACUUGAAGCCAAGUCUUCUUCAACUCAAAACAGAAACAUUUUCUGGUUUUUUAGAAGAAGAAAAUCGAAUCACAAAUUAUAGAAAACUAUUUUUUCGAACUCCUAGGAUUCUUCUCCCACACCCUCUGUUUUUCGGAUUUUUGGAAUGAAAGUCGUCCCAAAUUCUCAUUCUCGCUCCUUUUUUGUUUGUUUGUGUAUGUUUCUGAUGAAGAUAGUUGAAGGGUUACUGGAUUUUGCUCAAAACGAGAGAAAAUAUGAUGGGGUUGUUUUUGUGUGUGCUUCGAGUGGGGAAUCUGGUUUAUUUUUGUACUGCUCAUCUCUCUUGCUGAAGAGAAGGGGACACGGAAUUUCCGUAUCUCUAGCUCAGGGGAGGGUCAUGGGCGUUGGGUCGGGUAUUCAUAUUGGGCUGGGAGAAAAAUCAAUUAAUUUUGGCCCAAAUUUUAUCUCUUCAAUUCCCUUUCCUCUUUUUAUUUCAAAAUCUUUUUUAAUUAAUUUUUCAAAAUAAACUCAAAUAAAACCCAAACUAAAUCUUAAAUCAAAUCAAUCAUAGCACAUUAAAUUAAUUAACUCUAAUUAAAACCAAAUCGAAGGAAAAACUACCAAAAUUCAAAAAUUUAAAUUAAAAGUGAAAAUUAAACUAUUUUUUGCGACAUUUUUCCAUUUUUAUAAGACAACUAAUUUGUUAAUUAAUCCUAAAAUAUGAAAAUAAAUCCAAAUUUUUUUGUGAUUUUAAUGAAAGUAAAUAUGCAAAGAAAUUCAAACAAUUAACCAAAAUCCUAUAAAAUAUCAAAAAUUGGGAAAAUUAUUUUCUGAUAUUUUAUGGGAGUAAUUCAUAUAGGGGUAAAAAUCACAUGAUCACAGCUGCCCCUCUUUGCUCGAAAACACAAAGAGUUUUCGGGAAAAGAUAAAGUGAGCAGAUACGAGCGGUUGUUGCCCGCUUGAAUACUAUGUGGGAAGCAUUUUUGAAAUAUUUGCCCGAACCUUGCUUCAGGGGUUGCCUACAUAUCCUUGGCUAUAAAGGAAUCAGGUCAGUGUAGUUCAGAAGUGAGUGAGAUUAUGGAGUAUGCCGAGGUGGAGACCAGUCGAGCUGCCGUUCCGCCGAGGUUCCGGUCUACGGUCCUGUUAUUACAUCAAAAUCAAAAGAAAUGAAAAGACUAGCUAAGCCUAUCAGCUAUGAAUUACAAGAUUCAUAUCUAUAAGUGUUCUGAAGCUUGAUCUCGAGUCUUGAAUGGUUCUUCAUGCAGACUUUAGAUUUGAACCUUGGCACUUGUUAGCUGCAGGUGCUAGAUCGUUCUUCUUUAGCUUUAGGGAUCAAGACCAGAUAUGUAGUUCUUGUGACCUCGGCCAUGUCUUGAGCAACCCACAACUUUCAUCAGCUUCUACAUUUGGAUUAACUUCUUGUCUUUCUUUUUUCCUUUUUUUUAUUGUGACUAACUUAUGUUGAUCAUCUCGAACUGUUGACUCCCAUUCUUGCCGCGAGCUUCUUUUAUUGCUAACUUGAAUUAUGUUUUGAAGUGAAUUCUCUUAUUCCCUUGAAAUCUAUGCUAUCUCCUUUGAAACUUGAAUUGCUUUCCCUUGAUUCUCCAGGUGGGUUUCUGAUUAUCAACAUUUACACAGUUUUUCCCUUGAAACUUGAACUGUUUUCCCUUGUUCUCCAGGUAGGUUCCUGCAACCAAAAUAAACAAAAUUUUCUGCCCUAAUUCGCACUAGGAAGAUUUAGAGUUGUUAGCGGAAUUGUAAACCAAUUAUAAUACUGAUGCAAUGAUGAGAGUAAACCAAAAACUAGACUAGGAUGUGCGUCUCAUAUGAGUAAAACCAAAAAACUGACUAGCAAUUGCGUCUGCUAAAACAAAACCCGAAUGAAUCAAAACUAGGAAGUGCGUCUCCUAAAGAUGAAUUUAAAUGACCAAGACUAAUAAGUGCGUCUCCUAGGAGUAAAACCAAGAAACUUUGACUAGCAAAUGUGUCUGCUAAAAUAAAACUUGAUUGAACCAAAUUAGGAAGUGUGUCUCCUACAGGCAAAGCUUUUAUGAACCAAAACCAGGAAGUGCGUCUCCUAUAGGUGAAAACUUUUGUGACUAAAACCUAGGAAGUGCGUCUCCUAUGAAUAAACUCUCAAUUUAGGAAGUGCGUCUCCUAGAAGAAUAACUUGAAAGACCUUGAUUAGGAUGUGCAUGUCCUACACGUAAAACUUCAAUGAAUCAAAAUAGGAAGUGCGUCUCCUACGGUCGAACUUAAAUGACUCAAACUAGAAAGUGCAUCUCCUAGGGGUGAAACCUCAAUUUAAGAAGUGCGUCUCCUACAAUAAAAUAUAACUUGGAAAAGCCGGACUAGGAAGUGCGUCUCCUAGGGGUGGAACUUUCAUGAUUCAAACUAGGAAGUGCAUCUCCUACUAAUGAACUUCUCAAUUUAGGAAGUGUGUCUCCUAUGGGUAAGACUUCAAUGAAUCAGACUAGGAAACGCGUCUCCUAGGGACGAACUUAAAUGACUCAAACUAGGAAGUGCGUCUCCUACGAAUGAACUCUCAAUUUAGGAAGUGUGUCUCCUAUGGGUGAAACUUCAAUUACUCAAACUAGGAAAUGCAUCUCCUAUGAAUGAACUUUCAAUUUAGGAAGUGCAUCUCCUAUGAAUGAAAUAUCAAUUUAGGAAGUGCGUCUCCUACAGGUAAAACUUCGAUGAACCAGACUAGGAAGUGCAUCUCCUAUGGUUGAACUUGAAUGACCUAAACUAGGAAGUGCGUCUCCUAGGGGUGAAUUUAGAUUUAGGAAGUGUAUCUCUUAAAAAUAAAAAAUAACCUGAAAAACCCAGACCAGGAAGUGCGUCUCCUAGGGGUGGAACUUUCAUGAUUCAAACUAGGAAGUGCGUAUCCUAUGAGUGAACUAUCAAUGUAGGAAACGCGUCUUCUAAGGGUGAAAAGCAACUUAGGAAGUGCGUCUCCUAGAGUAAAAUACCAUUUGAAAGACUUAGACUAGGAAGUGCAUCUCCUAGGGGUAAAAUCUCAAUUUAGGAAGUGCGUCUCCUAAGCAAAAUAUAAUUUGGAAGACUUAGACUAGGAAGUAUGUCUCUUAGGAAUGAACUAUCAGUUUAGGAAGGGCGUAUCCUAUGAGUAAAAAUCAAUGACUUAAACUAGGAAGUGCGUCUUCUAGAGCAAAAUAUAACUUGAAAGACUUAGACUAGGAAGUGCGUCUCCUAGGGGUAAAAUCUCAAUUUAGGAAGUGCGUCUACUAAGCAAAAUAUAAUUUGGAAGACUUAGACUAGGAAGUGCGUCUCCUAGGAAUGAACUAUCAAUUUAUGAAGUGCGUCUCCUAUGGGUGAAAUCAACUUAGGAAAUGCGUCUCCUAGAGUAAAAUAUAACGUGAAAGACUUAGACUAGGAAGUGCAUCUCCUAGGGGUAAAACAAUCAAUGACUCAAACUCAUAUGAUCCAAACUAUGAGGUGCAUCUCCUAAGGGUAAAAUCUCAAUUUAGGAAGUGCGUCUCCUACAACAAAAAUAUAACUUGAAAACCCAGACUAGGAAAUGCUUCUCCUAGUGGUGAUGUGUGAUUUUCUCAAUAACUUUUGGGUAAUCAUAAUUGGGGCAUUACACCUGAGAAUUUCAACCUUCCAAGCUUUGAUAUGGACAUAGCUUCCAUCCCUGUUUCAGACAAAGAAAACUUGUGAGUUUAAAAAUGGUGGUUGAUUUGUGGCCUUGACUUUGUGGCGGGGCAUUACUGUGACAACCCGACCCGUCGUCUCAUGAGUUACUACCCCGUUCUUCCCAUUUUCUUCUUCCUUAUAUUUCAUUAUCGGUAAUGGGUGCGUUAGAUUUAAUAGGAGUGAUUUUAUUAAGAAAUGAGACACUUAAUCUCUUUUAAGAAGGCUUAAGUUGGAAAAGUCAACCAGAUGUUGACUUGUGAGUUAGAGGUCUCGGAAUUUAAUUUCGAUGAUUCGAUUAGUUUGAUGGGAUGAUUUAUGACUUAGGAGAGCAAUCGAAAGCAAUUUUGGAGGUCCGGUGAAGAAGUUAGCAUGUUUUGGCGAAGUUAGUAUUUUUGGCGAUUUUCGGUUGAUAGGUAAAAUUUUCAUCCGAUGGUCAAAAUAGAAUUCCGAGAAUAUUUGUAGCUUCAUUAUUUAAUUUUGGAUUUGUGUGUAAAAUUUGAAGUCAAUCGGACGUGAUUUGAUAGGUUUUGGCAUCGGAAAUAGAAGUUGAAAAUUCUAAAGUUCAUAAAACUUGGAUUGGAGGUUGACUCAUGAUUUUAGCAUUGUUUUAUGUAGCUUGAGGCCUUGAGCAAGUCUGUAUUGUAUUUUGGGAUUGGUUGGUGUUAUUGGUCGGGGUCCGGGGGGCCUUAGGUGUGUUUCGGAUGCUAAACGGGUCAUUUUCGAAAGAUUUUUUUAAACCUGUAAUGAUCCAAAGGUUCAUUUUUAGUUCCAGAGAUUGUAAUCUGAUUUUGAGACUUCCAAAAUUUAAAUCAUGAAUUAUAGGACUGAUUUGGAAAUUUUAUUUUAAUUUCAUCAAGUCGCGAAUGGGUUUUUGACGCGAAAUGUGAGUUAAUUUUUAACGAGAAAAAUGGGUGUUGAACUGGGCAAAUGAGCUCCGAAUUCAGUUUCAAUUGAAGGUUUGUGUUCGUAUUAUUAUUUGUGACUCAUAGGAACAAGAAUCGUUUAAUUCUGAAUUUGUAUGACAGGUUUAGAGCCAUUUUAGUGAAACAAAAGCUGCAGCAAUUUUCUAGGCAAUUUCUGCAUUUUUUUCGUACGUGUGAAUAGUAUCCUUGUACAGUACCCGUAUACAGUAUACAUGAACAACACCCGUGAACAGUAACAUGAAUAGUACCCCAUGAACAGUGCCCGGGAAUAGUGACGGACAGAAUGUUAAGUUUUGGAAAUAGGAGUUCGAACCCAUUUUCCAUAUUUGCUAUUUGGAGCUCGGAUUUGGCUAUUUUUUUGAGAGAUUUUCAAGGAAAACAUCGGAGGUAAGAGUUCUUAACUCAAUUUUGGUUGUAUAACUCGAAUCUCUUGCAAGUUUUGGUGUUUAAUUUGAGAAUUUUUGUUGAAAAGGGUAGAAAAACCUCUUGGAUAGAUAUGGUAAUUUGAGUGGUCAAAUGAACUCCAAUUUUUUUGAAUUUGGUAUAUAUAGACUCGUGGCGAGAUAAGGAUUGUAUUGAUGUAAAAAUUUUUGGAUUUCGAGAUGUGGGCCUGGGGCUCAGGUUUUGCAAAUUUCGUGAUUUUUGGUAAUUUUCGAGUCUUUUCGAUUGGGUUAUAUUCCCUUAGCAUGUUGUGACGUAUUUGCUCUGAAUAUGGAUAGAUUCAUCACGCCUGAAGGUCGAUUUUAGGAGCAAGGGCGUUUAGGGCUCGAGUUUCGACGGUUCGAGGUGAGUAGUGAUUUUAUAUGAUGCACUGAGGGUUUUAAACCCCGAAUUGCACAACAUACUGCUAUGUUGAGAUGAGAUACGCAUUGUAUGAUGAGCGCGGGGUCAUUUAAUAUUUGGGAUUGUGACUUGGUCCAUCCCAGUUGAUAUUUUACCGCGUAUUUGAUAAAGAUUUAUUGUUUUUCACCAUGAUUUGGGCUUAUUGCCAUACUUGGGCGGCUUAUUGCCAUACUUGGUCUUCGUGCCAAUUAUUUGAAAUCUUUUAUGAAAUUCCAUCACUAUUUUCCUCACUAAUUGAAAUAUUAUCUGAGCUUAGUCCGAUUGAAUUAUACUAUUUCAUGAACUCAACUACAAUUAUACUCAUCUCGAGAUUUAAAUGAUAUUUAUAAUGUUGUUUGAGCUGAGCAUCAUUAUUUACUGACGCCCAAGGGGCUUAUGGUUAUUUUCUGGACUGAUUGAGGCUGAGGGCCAUCUGUGAGGAUAUGUUGAGUGAUGUGAGGAGGCUUUCAGGCCUCAAGUGUUAUGUGAGGAGGCUUGAUUAUGAUAUGUUGAGUGAUGUGAAGAGUCUUUCAGGCCUCGAGUGUUAUGUGAAGAGGCUUUCAGGCCUUGAGUGUUAUGUGAGGAGGCUUUCAGGCCUCGUGUGUGAUGUGUGGAGGCUUUCCUAUGGAUAUUGCGCUUGGGAUGUAGGAGCCUCUCUGGAGUCUGUACACACCCCCAGUGAGCACAGGGUACCCAGGUGAGUUGGGAGUGGGCCCGAGAGGCCGUUGUUUGUGUGUGGUGAGUUGGGAGUGAGCCCGAUGGGCUAAUGUUGUGUGUUGGUGAGUUUGGAGUGAUCCCGUGGGGUUGAUACUAUACUGAAAUUUACAUACUAAGUCCGAGGGGCAAGCUUUGAUUAAUACCUACUGUAGAAAUUGUUGUUUUCACUGUUUUUAAAAGGAGAAUUAUCUGAUACUCACUUUUUUACUGUAUAACUGAUUUUACUGCUUGAGAUAAAGCUAUAUUUAGACUUUAUGGGAUUCUAUGCUUUCAGUCGUUAUUUAUUUUUAUUACUCACUGGGUCGGAGUACUCAAAUUACUCCCUACACCGUGUGUGCAGAUUCAGGCAUAACAGAUUUUCAUACUUGAGAGCUCACCUUUCCAGUCCAGGUGGUGUUCCGAGGCUACGAGGUAGCUGUUGGCGUCCGCAGCCCCCGUGACUCCUUUAUCUUAUAAUUCCUAUGUUAUUCGAAUUAUUGUACCAGAAUUCGUAUUUAGUAGACUUGUAUUUGGAUUUCUUAGUUGCUCAUGACUUGUGACGCCGCGGUUAGGGCCAUGUUGGGUUGGAUUUUCUGCUAUUUGGUGUUAUUAAAAACAUAUUAUACAAUGCCUUUGUUAAAUAAUUGUUUUAAAAGGAUUAAUUGGGUUGACUGGCUGGCCUUGUCUUCACGAGAGGUGCCAUCACGACCAGGUUCGGGUUUUGGGCCGUGACAAAUUGGUAUCAGAGCCUAGGUUACUAGGUCUCACGAGUCAUGAGCAUGUUUAGUAGAGUCUCACGGAUCGGUACGGAGACGUCUGUUAUCCUUGGGAGGCAACAGAACCUUUAGAAAAACUUCACUUUCUUGGAAUUCUUAUUGUGUGUACUUGAUUCAGUUUGAGAUAUACCCCUUGAAAUUCCUUCCACACAUCAGUAUGCGCACGUGAGCGCUUAGUAGUAUAUGUGCCUUGAUGGCUUGUGCUUCCCCGAUCGAAGGGGGAGAGAUGUAAUAUUCGUGAGUUUGAUGUUGGGCAGUCUGGAGGACUUGAGGCCAAAUCUUUGCUUAUGGCUUGAGCACCAAGGUGUUGAUUUAGUGAGCUGGAUUUAUGAACUUAUAUGUUCAGUAUUGUCCCUAAUUGUGGGAAUAGCGGCUGAAUAGCUACGCAAUGAGUAUGUGGUACUAUGUAAUGUGUAUGACAAUGGAAGGUAUACAAAAACAUGAACCAAAGGUAAAACUAAUGGGUAAUUGGCUUAUAAGUGAAAUCUAUUUUUCAUAAUAGUUAGAUAAGUCUGGGAGCUGGGAUCGCUUCUGUAAAUGUAUUAUGACAAAAUCGUUGAGUCAAGGAGACCACCUUGAAGGUCGAAAACAUUUAAAGGAAGAAUAUGUUCUUACUCGGUUGAAUAUACCAAUAAUGGGGGAUUGAAAGGUAUUUUCCAUGUGUUCUGAUUCAAAUAGGUGCAACGCAUGUCCAUAUAUCAAUUCUGAUAGUAUAAUACAUGUUGUAUUGAAAUUUAUGUAAUUGAUAUGCAUUAUGAUACCUUGUCAAGUUGUGGAUGUGUUGUUAGGAUGGUUUUGGUGAUUCUCUGGUAGGUGGAUAGGCCCAAUUACAAAGGAAACUCUGCCAAAUAUUUUGAAAAUUUUGGGACGUAGUAAAAAUUGUUGCCUAAAGAGUGGGUUUAAUUGUUGUGUGAGUGAAUGCAAAAAUUGCAAAAGAGUUAAAAUUUCUGAUGAUUCGUGUUUCCACGAGCUUAUGAUGGAGGGAGUUUAAUCUCACCAUGAAAUUACGACAUCAAUAGAGUAUAAAUGCGUUUUGAUCUAUGACUUUGAGCCAAGUUGGGGAGUUGGUUAUUAAAUAGGGCGAUUGCACGAUAAUAUGCUAUAUUGGUUCAAGUUUGAUGCAUGCUGGUGAAUAAGUUCUGGUUAUGGAAAUUGGGUCGAGAAUGGAACGAAUGAAGGAAAACUUUUGACAAGAUGUCAUGAGCUCGGAUGAGCAGGAGAUGAGUUUCGAUGUUUACGGUAAGUUGGAAUUAUAUUCAGCGUCACCUAAGUUCGAUGUUUUGUAAAAAGGGUUUUGCGUCCUGGUUAAGAUUCUUGAUCGCUCUUCAGCAUUAGUAAGAUCGGUGAUUUGGAGGUACGCUCCAGAUAUUGUUGUGGUAAGUUGUGGGAGUGUAUCCCACGAGAAGAUUAUAUAAAUGUGGCAUGUGAUCACUUGAUUGAUUAAGGAUGUAAACCAAGUAUGAAGUUUUUGAUGGUGUAGUUAAAUUAAAGAUUCAUGCCUGGAGGGCACUUGGCAUAUUGGGUUAUGAACUGGGGAGGAUUACUCCGAUUGUGAUGGUUAUUCUUGUGUGCUAUGAGAAAAAUAGGAGUCAUUAUGGACCUUUGAAAGGUUAUCAGACAAGUUCAAUGUGAUCAGAACCGGCUUGAAGUGAAUGAUUGUUCUUCUUUUUUAUGAAGAAAAUGGAAGUUAUUAUGGACCUUUGAAAGAUUAUUAUAUUAGUUCAGUGUGAUCAGAAUCGGCUUGAAGUCGGUGCAUAGAUUUAAUGUGAAUAAUGACUCUAUAUCAGGCUAGAUGUGUGCAUUUUUGUAACGGGGUCCUCGUGGAUGAGUAGUUAGGUUGAUGUUUCUUUGUCAAAUAUUUCGCGUAGUGAUGCAUCGCAGUGUGUGAGCUGUGAGACGACUUAAGAAAUUUCUAUAUGGUGAGAAUCCACGCAGGAAUGAUGUUACCUGAGCAAGUUGGCUCUUGAAAUUCAGAUUGUAUAUCGCACCUCAGUUGUGCUCGAGUUUUGUAGUUUAUAAUGCUAAAUAUCCCUCAUGGAUGAUAUUAUGCACUUAGUAUGCUUAUGACCGAUAUUCGGUAUUUGGUUAUUAUGAGCAGCUUUGGCUCGAUGUGUAUCUCCUUAUGAAAGAUCUAUGUGUGGAUCGGGUGGCACGCCGCCAUGGGCAUGUUAUCUGGAUCGGGUUGCACCCUGCAACAGUGUGAAAUCUGGUAUAGUUUUCUAUAUGUUAUCUUUGUAUGCCAUGCUUCCUGUUUUCUUAGGAAGAUUCGUAUUAGUGUGUAGGAUUGGUAAUUCCUUCUAGAGAUCAGUAAAUUCGAGAUCCGUGCAAUCUGAGUAUAUGAAGUAAAUUAAGGUGCCAAGAUCAUUGUUUGAUUCAGAAUGAGGUGAUAGAUUUCUAGACAUAUAGACACAAUGAAUUGUUGAUUCGGCGGUGUUAUGAGUUUAUACAGAUCUUAUCUGUCGUGUCGGUAUUGUAAAAAUUUGAACAAGACCUAUGUAUGUCAUGCAGAGCAUGAAAUGUUUAAUGAUUUUUCUUCUAGAUGGGAUAAAGGGAAGUUCUUGACUAGUUGAGUACAUAAAAGUUCAUGUUUCGGAAAGGAGAAGAAGUCAUCAUGUUACCUUAGGAUGAUAUGGUAUAUGCGAUAUGUUGUGAAGGAUUGAGAAUUGCGUGUGUAAGGUUAUGGUUCAGUUCUGAAUGAAAAUUCAUAUCAUUCUUAGGCAGUACGGGCAACUUUGGGUGAUUAGAGAAAUGAGCUUCAGAUGAUUAAGGAAAUUUUGUUUCUAAUCAUGGAGAUUUGUAAAGGUUACAUGUUUCAGAAAAAGGCCAAUGUGAUUAAGUUGAUGGCACUUCAAUAGUAUUGGGGNNNNNNNNNNNNNNNNNNNNNNNNNNNNNNNNNNNNNNNNNUUGAUGGCACUUCAAUAGUAUUGGGGUCAGGUAUGAUGAUGCGUGUGCUAUAUGGAGUUGGAGACUGGGAGUUCUCAUGUACAUGCUAUAUUGUGGUUCUGGAUCGUGUGCGUCGGUAUUGUUUAACGACUAUCAAGAUUUAAAGGCUCGAGUGGAUCUUUACUUACUGGUAUGUGAUUUUGUAUGCGAUAUCAGAAUUUAGACUGGUUGUCUUAGCGUCAGGCAAUUCUGAACUAUUAUGCCAUGGGCUAUGCCGGAAAUGCAACGGGCUGAGUGGCGAGGUAAGUUGGAUUAUGUUCUAUCAAGUUUGCGUGGCAUGUGUUAUUUUUUUCACCGUAGGAGUAAUGAUUUGCUCUGGCUCCAGCCAUCAAUUGAGCAUGGUUUUCGAUUUCAAGCGUAGUGACUUGAGGUGUUGCAUGUGAAGUAGUAUUUGGAUAAGAUCGCGCGUUGCAGCAAAGCCGUGUGGAAACAUGACCUUGCACGUAACAUUUGUGUGUCCUAUUUCUACUAUAUGAGACAGAGUCUUAGCCUUAUGUUGUGGCAGUACUAAUGAAUUUGAGGUACAACUCUCUUAGUUGAGUCAUUUUCAUGAUUUGAGUAUGUUCGAACCAUUUCUUAUUGGUGCGCUUAUUAUACAAGUUGUGGCUUAGGCCUGUAUUGCAGCUAUUAUAUCAUUAGAGUGGUGUGUUGGAUUCGAGGUGAUCGUUGGGGUCAUUGAUGAGUACAAACCGAUUUGAUUUCAGCAUGUUUGAUAGGUAAUUAUCGAGGUUCGGUUCGAAAAUUUGUUAUGAAAAUUUCCAGAGGAGAAAAUGGCCUCAUGAAUACUGAGCAAUGAUUAUGGUUUAUUACGUGUUUCAAUUAUUAUUGGUAGUAUAUGAGAGUGUUGGAAUGAGACGUUGGCUAAUAAGAGAUUUCUAUCGGUAUUUGGUUGUUGUGGGCAGCUGUUGUGAAUGGAAGUUAUCGCUGCAUUGGUUUGAGUUAUUGGUAUAUCAUAUAAUUGCACCUAAGGUUGCAGGCAUGGUCUAUUACUGCUGGUUCAGACUUAUUCUGAAUACAGGCAUGAGGUUCUGAUCUUGUGUAUGAUUCUAAAAAGGUGAAAUGUGGCUCUAUGAUUUAUGAGCUAGACCAGAUUGUGUGAUUUUAGUUAAAACGCGUUAUCGGACCCAUGUGAGAUAAGGUGAUGUGGGUUCAUCCCCGGAUUUAUACAUGGUGAGUUAUUUAGCAAUUGUUGGGAUUUUGGAACAACUCUGGGUACGUUAGAGGACAAACGUUUGUUUAAGUUGGGGAGAAUGUGACGACCCGACCCGUCGUCUCAUGAGUUACUACCCCGUUCUUCCCAUUUUCCGCUUCCUUAUGUUUCAUUAUCGGUAUUGGGUGCGUUUGAAUUUAAUUGGAGUGAUUUUAUUAAGAAAUGUGACACUUAAUCUCUUUUAAGAAGGCUUAAGUUGGAACAGUCAACCGGAUGUUGACUUAUGAGUUAGAGGGCUCGGAAUUGAAUUCCGAUGAUUCGGUUAGUUUCAGGGGAUAAUUUAAGACUUGGGAAAGCAAUCAAAAGCAAUUUUAGAGGUCCGGUGAAGAAGUUAGCCUAUUUUGGCAAAGUUAGUAUUUUUGGAGAUUUCUGGUUGAUAGGUGAAAUUUGAUCCGACGGUCGAAAUAGAAUUCCGAGAAUUUCUGUAGCUUCCUUAUGUCAUUUUGGAUUUGUGUGCAAAAUUUGAAGUCAACCAGACAUGAUUUGAUAGGUUUCAGAAUCGAAAAUUGAAGUUGAAAAUUCUAAAGUUCAUAAAACUUGCAUUGGAGGUUGAUUCAUGAUUUUAGCGUUGUUUGAUGUAACUUGAGGCCUCGAGCAAGUCCGUAAUGUAUUUUGGGACUGGUUGGUGUUAUUGGUUGGGGUACCGGGGGCCUCGGGUGUGUUUCAGAUGCCCAAGGGUCAUUUUUGAAAGAUUUUAUUAUUUUGAGCAUAAACCUGUAAUGAUCUAAAGGUCCAUUUUGUGUUCCAGAGAUUGAAAUCUGAUUUCGAGACUUCCAAAAUUUAAAUCAUCAAUUAUAGGACUGAUCUGGAAAUUUUUGUUUAAUUUCAUCAAGUCAUGAUUGGGUUUUUGACGCGAAAUGUGAGUUAAUUUUUUAACGAGCGAAAUGAGUAUUUAACUGGGAAAAGCAGAUCCGAAUCCAGUUUCGAUUGAAGGUUUUUGUUCGUAUUAUUAUUUUUGACUCAUAGGAACAAGAAUCGUUCAAUUUCGAGUUCGUAUGACGGAUUUAUAGCCAUUUUAGUGAAACAAAAGCUACUGCAAUUUUCUGGGCAAUUUCUAUAUUUUUUCGUACAUGUGAACAAUAUCCUUGUACAGUACCCGUAUUUGGUAUACAUGAACUGUCCCCAUGAAUAGUACGUGAAUAGUACCCUGUGAACAGUGCCCGUGAACAGUGACGGACAAAAUGUUAAGUUUUGGAAAUGGGAGUUCGAACCCAUUUUCCAUAUUUGCUAUUUGGAGCUCGGAGUUGGCUAUUUUUUGGAGAUAUUUUCAAGGAAAACAUUGGAGUAAGAGUUCUUAACUCAAUUUUGGUUGUAUAACUCUAAUCUAUUGCAUGGUUUGGUGUUUAAUUUGAGAAUUUUUUUUGAAAAAGGGUAGAAAACCCUCUUGGAUAGAAAUGGUAAUUUGAGGGGUCAAAUGAACUCCGAUUUCUGUGAGUUUGGUAUAUAUAGACUCGCGGCGAGAUAAGGAUCGUAUUGAUGUAAAAAUUUCUGGAUUUUGAGAUGUGGGCUCGGGGCUAGGGUUUUGCAAAUUUCGUAAUUUUCGAUAUUUUUCGAGUCUUUUCGAUUGGGUUAUUUUUCCUUAGCAUAUCGUGAUGUAUUAUCUGUGAAUUUGGAUAGAUUCGAUGCGGGUGAAGGUCGAUUUGAGGAGAAAGGGCAUCGCGGGCUAAAGACUUCUUUGGUUCGAGGUACGUAAUGAUUUUAAAUGAUGCACUGAGGGUUUGAAACCCCGAAUUGCACAACAUACUGCUAUGUUGAGAUGAGACACGCAUUGUAUGACGAGCGCGAGGUCAUCUAAUAUUGGGGAUUGUGACUUGGUCCAUCCCAGUUGAUAUUUUACCGCGUAUUUAUUGUUUUUCACCAUGAUUUGGGCUUAUUGCCAUACUUGGGCGGCUUAUUUCCAUACUUGGGCUUCGUGCCAAAUAUUUGAAAUGUUUUAUGAAAUUCCAUCACUAUUUUCCUCACUAAUUGAAAUAUUAUCUGAACUCAGUCCGACCGAAUUAUACUAUUUCAUGAACUCAGCUACAAUUAUACUCAACUCGAGAUUUAAGUGAUAUUUAUAAUGUUAUUUGAUGGCAUCAUUAUUUUACUGACGCCGAAGGGGCUUAUGAUUAUUUUCUGUACUGAUUGAGGCUGAGGGACAUCUGUGAGGAUAUGUUGAGUGAUGUGAGGAGGCUUUCAGGCCUCGAGUUUAUAUGAUGAGACUUUCAGGCCUUGAGUGUGUUAUGUGAGGAGGCUUUCAGGCCUCGAGUGUGUUAUGUGAGGAGGCUUUCAGGCCUCAAGUGUGUUUUGCGCUUGGGUUGUAGGAGCCCCUCCGGAGUCUGUACACACCCCCAAUGAGAGCAGGGUACCCAGGUGAGUUGGGAGUGGGCCCGAGAGGCUGUUGUUUGUGUGUGGUGAGUUGGGAGUGAGCCCAUGGGGAUGAUACUAUACUGUUAAUUUGAUAUUGAGCCUGAGGGGCUAGCUUUUGAUCAUUUCUUACUGUUGAAAUAAAUGGUCACUAUUGUUUUAAAAAAAAGAGAAUUGUCUAAUAUCCACUGUUAUAAUAUAUAACUGGUUUUACUUCUUGAGAUAAUGUUGUGUGUUGGUGAGUUGGGAGUAUCCCGUGGGGGUGAUACUAUACUGAGAUUUACAUAUUGAGCCCGAGGGGCAAGCUUUGAUUAAUCCCUACUAUGGAAAUUGUUGUUUUCAUUGUUUUUAAAAGGAGAAUUAUUUGAUACUCACUGUUUCGCGAUAUAAGUGAUUUUACUGCUUGAGAUAGAGCUAUAUUUGUGCCUUUAUAGGAUUUCAUGCUUUCAGUCGUUAUUUAUUUUUAUUACUCACUGGGCCAGAGUUCUUACAUUACCCCCUGCACCGUGUGUGCAGAUUCAGGCAUAGCAGAUUUUCAUACUUGAGAGCUGACCUUUCCAGUCCAGGUGGUGUCCGGAGACUACGAGGUAGUUGUUGGCGUCUGCUGCCCCUGUGACUACUUUAUCUUAUAAUUUCGAUGUUAUUCGAAUUAUUGUAUUAGAUUUCGUAUUUAGUGGACUUGUGUUAGGAUUUCUUAGUUGCUCAUAACUUGUGACGCCCCGGUUAGGGCCAUGUUUGAUUGGAUUUUUCGCUAUUUGGUGUUAUUAAAAAUAUAUAGUACUAUACCUUUGUUAAAUAAUUGUUUUAUAAGGAUUAAUUGGGUUGACUGGCUGGCAUUGUCUUCAUGAGAGGCGCCAUCAUGACAGUUCGGGUUUUGGGUCAUGACAAUUACACCUGAACAUUUCAACCUUCCAAGCUUUGAUAUAGACAUAGCUUCCAUCCCUAUUUCAGACAAAGAAAACUUGUGAGUUUAAACAUGGUGGUUGUUUUGUGGCCUUGACUUUGCGACGGUUGCUCCUUCACUUGCCAUGAUAAUUUUGAUUUCACCUUGAAAGACGUUGAUUGUUCCUUGACUAACCUCUUUCUCUGUCACCCUUAUCACAAAAAUACCUCUUCUUCGUUCAAACUCAAUAUCCUCCAUCUGUUGCAUUGCUCAUGAACUGAUAUCUGCAAAACCCUUGUGUUCCACAUGAUCCCCAAAGCAUAUUGAUUCGUUCACCCUAACCCUCCAUCUAUUGCAUUGUUCACAAAUUGAUAUAUAUCAAACCUUUGCACUAUACACAAAUCCCAAAGCAUGUUAUUUGUCACCAACUUAGUGCGCUUGUCACUCUUUCUUGACUUAUGACACUUUGAUGUACUAGCCAGAUAUUGUCUUGUGUAAUUAGGAAGUUUGUGGCAAAUUUUGAAGUCAUUUUUCACUUGUUUUGACCAAACAGACUCCGGAAGAGGAAGUAACCAAUACAAAAGGAAUAAAGUAUAGGACAAUAGAAAGAGAUGAUUCCUAACAAGAAAAACUACAAAGUUUAAACCUAUCGGAUGUGGACACCGACUCUACUGACCUUGACAUGCACCUGUGGCCUAUUCUGUUAAGCAUAUAUGAUGUUCAGGUCUUGUUGUACCAUUUAGUUGUGAAACUGGGCUUCAAUGCUCCGCUUAUCCAAUUUGAUUCGUAACCCUUAUUUGACUUGUAGUGCCCGAAGGGUUUUCACCAUCAAGCCUCUCUCAGUUUGUUCUUUCUCUUAACUUACCAUCGCCUCAAGGUGCCUGUGAUGAUUUUCACCAAUAAGACUCUCUCAGUUUUUAUUUCUCUCAACUUUCAUCACCUUGCGGUACCCGUGAAGGUUUUCAUCCCCUGGCUCGCUCAUUUUCAUUUUCCUUGUUUGCAUCAGAGUGUUUUGUUUGGAUCGGAGUGUUGCCCCUGACAUGAAUCACCUUUACCUGCUUUACCUGGCAUUUCUCGGAGACUGAUCAAAAGGUCUUUCUUUGGACCAUAAUGUGAAUUUUGGACAGGGUUAGAAAAGAAGGGUAUAAAAGGCUCAAAAACAAUUUCAAAAUGGGUUUAAAUUACAACUUUCGGAAUCCAAUUUCUCAAAAAAUCCACAACUUCUGCCCCAGUUUCUUGCUUGGGGAUUUUUGGACUUUUAUUUUGGUAUGAGUGAACCUCAGCGAGGCUGCCUAUGUACCCUUUCAGGAUCAAAUCAAACGUGGUUCACGUCAUAGGAAUUAAUUUGUUGUUGUGAUUUUUCUUUUCUUUUCUUUCUUCUUUCUUACUUUUUCUCUUUCAUUUUUCCUUUAUUUGUCUUUUCUUUCCUCUUUUUUUCUUUUAUUUUCUUUUUCCUUUUCUUUUCUUCUUCUUUUCUCUUCUUCUUCUUCUUUUCUUUUUAUGUACUCAUUUUCGGCACUUGCGUUAUUAGUUGUGCCAUUGAUUCUGAAAGAGGGGUGUGAAAGAAAGUAAACAAGGCUCAAAAGGGAUGACAAGGGAUAAAGUGUUUAGAUAGCAGAACAAAAUGCCUUCGUCAUUCCAAUCUCCAAAACAUGCCAAGUGCAAAUUGCACAACUAAACAACCAUAUCCACACAUUCGUAUUCUGCAUCUAUGAACUACAAAGCGUCAUUGGACAAGACUCUCACUCUCAUUACCACGAACAAUCCCUUGUCAAUUUGGCCAACUUGCUUUUACGAUUUCAUCAUGUUUUAAUUGCCCCAGUUUCACCUGGCGCGGGCUUCAAAUAAUCUUAAAAUGUCCACAUCUGUUCUUAAUUUCAAAAAUGAUUUCAUUGCUUCCUGACUAAACUGUCUUUUAAAUAUCAGACUGAGAAUUAUGCACACAUGUCAUGUAACUAGAACCAGCACCAAACAAAAGACAAAACAAAAUGAUAAUGAAGAACUAAAGAAGAUGACUGGAGGUAACAAAAGACCGGAAUUUGCAUUAGACAAACGGUGAAACAGUUUGCAUAACAAAACAAGAAAAACAAACUGAAGUACAACCCUAAAGCACACAUGGAAAACACUACACAUACCACUAUGACUAAACAAGCUAGAUAAAAAGAACGGAUAAGAGGGUUUGACCACAAGACAAUAUAUGGAUUACAACCCUGAAAAUAACCCAAAUAACAGAAAUGACAACAUAAUAAACCACCAAGACUUCUCUCCAGCUACCCAAGAGAUGAAUCAUCUUUCCAAUUUCCAAGCUCGACAUCUUAGCCAGUAAGUUUUGCAUCAAAAUUUCCAUGACCAUUACCAACUUCAAUAUCAUCAACUUCAGUCAACAAGUUUCUAAGAGGAUUCACGUGCUCCCUAUCACUAUCAUUAACCAGAAUUACCCUUUCUUGAAUCAUUCUUUUUAUUUCCCUUUUCAAAGAACGACGAUCUUCAAUGUUGUGCCCUUGGAAGUUAGAGUGGUACAUGCAUCGUACAGUAGUAUCAAAUCCUUUUGAAUAUGGGUUUGGAGUAUAGCCAAGAAGCAGCUCAAUCAGGCCAGAAUGCUUUAACUUUUUAAAUAAUCUUGCGUAGGACUCCCCAAUUGGCGUAAAACGACUUCUUUUCCUUUGUUCUCUUCCCUCCCCCUAUUUUCUUGGGUUGUUGGGCGCUCAAAAAUGUUUUGAAGGCAAGAAUACAUUAUAAGAUGCUGGCGCUCGCCAUAAGGAGUGACCUGGACAUAUGACCGGACAUUUUCAGAGGAUAAUACUGAGGUGGAUUAUGUGGAGCUCGGGGAUAGGUUUGGGGUUAGAGUUGAGGCUGGGUGUAUUAGUGAGGCAGAUCCUUUCGUCUAUGUCGUGUCUCUAAAAUAACCAUGGCAAUAUCAUCAUGUUCCUUCUAACCCAGUGAGCUUCCUGUGUUGCUCUGAAUUGCUUGUGUUGUGGCUUUUAAAGCAGAAUAACUCAUGAUCUUGCUAGACUUCAGCACAUCUUCUACCAUCUCUCCCAUUUUUAUCACAUCAUUGAAAGGCCUACAUACAGCCGAGAUCAAAUGCCCAAAGUAAGUGGGUUCUUGAGCUUGAAGAAAGUAGUUGAUCAUCUCUUUUUCUUUCAUCGGGGGAUCGACUCUGGCAGUUUGCUCUCUCCAUCCGAGGCCGUACUCCCUAAAGCUUUCAUUAGGCCUCUUCUCCUUCUUGGCGAGGGACCUGCGAUCCGGGACGAUUUCUAUAUUAUACUGAAAGUGCCUGGCAAAGGCGUGAGCCAUAUUGUCCCACGUGUACCGCCUGUUAGCAUCUUGGCGGGUGUACCACUCCAGAGCUGCCCCACUCAGACUCUGAAUGAAAAUACGCCAUCAAUAAUUUGUCUUUCCCAGUGGCGCCUCUCAUCCUAUUGCAGUAACCUCUUAAAUAAGCGGCGGGAUCUCCGCGCCCAUCAUAUAAAUCAAACUUUGGCAUCUUAGCAGGCAAUUGGACGUCAGGAAACAUACACAAGUCUUUGUAAGCCAUGCUCACCUGGCCCCUAUCCCUUGCAUGUUUCUUAAAGACUGCUCUAAGAUUUUCACCUUCCUGGAUAUCUCAUCCUGCUCCACCGUCUUGCCAUGAUUUUCAGUUUCACCAUGAGCCUCAAAAUGAGGAGCGUGAGAGUAUGGAUCCGAGACUUUGAAAGUUGGUUUUGGAGAAUAGUGUUGGGCAUCGGGGACUUUGAAUACAGUCUUAUUGGAGGAUCGAGGAAAAAUAGCUGGUGGAGGAGCUGCAAGAGCAUGGACGGCCAAAAGAGCGGUAUAUGAAGGGAUUUUGGCUGGUGGAGUAUGAAAAGAUUGUGGGGAGAUAUUAGCAGCAGUGGGGAACUGGAUCGGUGCUAGUGGUGGGAUAGUUGCAGGGUUUUCAGUGUAGUUAGUGGGGAAUGAAGAUGUAGGAUGCCCCUGAUCCAAGACUGAUACAUCUCUGUCAUAUGCUGCUUCACCCUUUGGAGAUCCUCUUUCAAUUCAGACUCCGACCCCUCAAACUCCUUUGACGGGUCAACAACUCUUGCGCCCAAGUUUUUGCUAGCCAUGGCUACCCUGCCCUUUGACCUUGUGUUGUAUGGACGAGUUACCUUAAGAACCACAAACCACCACUCUUCUUCUAUUAAUGUAACAAAAUGAAGCCGUCAUGUUAGCGUUAGGCCAUUUAACGGCUAAAAUAAUAUCACAUUUAAGGCAAUGUACCUAGCCACAAUUAUCGAUUAUAAAACGACUUCGAGGGUACGAAGGUCAGUUGGCAUCAUCCCGAUUUAUUCAUAUUAACCUCUCUUUUCUUUGCUUUUCUGGCUUUUGCUUUCUCGUUUACCUUCCUCUUUUUUCUAAUUAUCACUCUUUUCUUUCCAAUCAUUUCUCACAUCCCCUAACUUCAACUUUCUUUUUUCUUUUUCUCUUUUCGCUUUUUCCAUUUUUUAUUUUUGUUUUCUUAAAAAAAAAUAAUUCGAUCAAACCCUACGUAGGUUGCCUACGUAUAUGACCCCGCAUGAAUAAGAUCUUUACGUAAUUUUGCAAAAUUAUGAAUAAAAUAGACAAACCGACAUUCUCCUUUUUGCUUUUCUUUAUUAUUAUUUUUAUGACAAUUUGAUGAGAAAAGAGAAAUGAAGCAGCAAACCCUUUUUUGAAUUUUCUAGAAUAAAUGUUCUAUAACCUAUUCUAAACUCAAGCCUAACGAGCAUGCUUUUUUAUUCUUUUGAAACAAAUACUCUAUUAAGGAAAAUCCUAGAAGAGAAAAAUAUCUUUGAUUCCUACUUUUAGGAAGAAAAUCUAAAGAAUUAACCAUAGCAAAAUGUUUUGAAUUUUCAUUUGAUAUUCUAAUGCAAGAUUCCGAAACAAGCAACGAAAAAGAUAAAACAAAAUAUUUUUGGAUUUCAAUUUGAUUGCCUAAAGGAAGAUCAAACUUCAAACAAAAGAUAAAGUAUUUUUUCCUUCUAUGUAAAAUAUUCUAAAGUUCUAUUGAAAAUAAAAAGAAUCUUUUCAUUAGUUUCCCAAAGACGAACCUCAAAAGAAAAUCAUUUCGAAUUUUUGAAAUCGAUACCUUAAAGAAAACUUUUUUAACAAGGUACUAAUAAAUAAUUCUUCUUCUUCUUUUUUCUUUUUGGUCCUAAUAUACUAAAAAGAAACACACAAAAAAAAAUCAUUUAAUUGCCUAAAGGAGAAACAAUCUCAAUAACAUAUUUUUUUCAUUUCUACAAUUAGUAUUCUAAAUAAAACUUAUAACGAAAAUAUAAAAUGUAACAUCUCUUUUUUUUGAAUUUUUCAUUUAUGACACUUUUUUCGAAUGCAAAUUAGUAAGUACAAUGGGCCAAAAUGCAACAAAUGUUAUUGCUUCCUAUAUGCUUCAAAAGAUUGAGUUACUUCACAAAGUACCCUCACACACCAUUAAGAUACAUGAAUUUCCCGUGAUAUUAAUGUUUUGGAGACGAGUCAACAAGUUUUUGUCCUUGUGAACAAAUGCCCAUCUCGUUUGUACCAAUACUAGUUCAGGGUUAUCCUUGAAAUGUGGGACUGUCAGCUUAAGAAAAUCUGGAGUUGGUUGGAAAUCCUUGCAGCAAAUUCAUAAUCCUUCAGAUAGUCACAAGUUUCAAUACCAAAUUCCUCCUUCAAGUUCGUCAUGAGUAGCUUGAAGGGUAACGAUAGACGCCAGCAGAGAUCAUGAUCUGCGGACAGUCCCUGGUCCUCACUCCUCUCUUCUUUAACAUCCCAGGGUGAUUCAGCAGCUAGAUCUUGUUGAGUUUCAUAAUUCUUACCAUUUCUUCCAUCUAGACAAGUCUGAAACUCCUCACUGACUGGCAGUUCUCUGGCAACAGCUUCAUCAUUGAAUUGUCCAUUAUUCACUGACAUUCCAUCUUUAAUACCAUUAAUUGUCACAUGAUUAUUACUCUGCACACAGAAAAUUGGAGCUUUGCGAGUCAGAGUCCAUGCUAGAAAGAGAGGUUUCCUUCUCGAUUUUGACCAUUUCUCCUCUAAGUUUUUACUAGUUCCAGCUCGACCCUUUCCUUGAUGAGACUUCUGAGCUAAAGAACUCACAUUCUUCCCACUCAGACUCAUCUGGCCAUUCUUAUCAGGCACAUAACCAUAAACCACAGGUGAUUCCUACCUUACUUUUGGAGCACUGGCUGCAGUUGAAGACCUACUACUCCGAUCCUCACUGUUCUCUGAGUCCGUAGCACAAAAAAUUAGAGGCCGAUCAGCCAAGCCAGGAUUACCAAUUACACCAAAGUCAUCAACUAGAACACCAGGGAUCCUCAAUAGUGCAUUGGUUGAAGAAACGGAUCCAUCACUAUUUUGGAUUGCUCCAGCAGACAAAUGCACAGUCUUUGAAGAAUUUGCAGCGGCGUUCGACAAGCCAUACUUCAACAACUUACGACUAUCUGUGUUACUAUCCCCAUCCUUUGGCUUUGGGAGAGGCAAUCAAUAACAGCUCAGAAACACAUCCAAAUUUCAAUAACAAAAAGUCCUACGCAUCACAGUUAGUAGGAAAAAAAUCUGCCGCAAAUCUGUCGAUUUUGGAGCUAUGUCCUGUGACGUGUGAACAUGGGAAACAACCUGUACAAUUCUCAAUUGAAGAAGUAACAUUCACUAUAGAAGAAGGGCUUCAUCAAGUUGUAAUCCUCAAGUUUUCAUAUGGAAAACCAGACCUAUUGUUUCAUUGAUUGUUCAAGCAGAUGAUGGUUUGGAAUUUGACGAGGGAGUAAAUCGAUCACCAAACAAGCACUCUCUUGAUGUGGAUCGAGCAAGACAAGUGCUCGACUUCUCAAGCAAAUCCAGAACUGGGCAAAUUUCAUCUCCAUCUAUGAAGACUGAUUAACAACAGUUAGGUACACCAGGAGGUAUCACCCUAAAACCAACAAUUACCAAGAAUAAUGCAACAAAUGUGUCAGUGGGGCAUGACAAAUCAGAAAUGAAAGCUGCUACUGUAUGCUCGAAUAAGGCGGACACUGUUGGAAGUGUUGUUCGAGCUAAUGCUAUGACAUCUAAAUCAAGUGUUGCACUAGUUGAUUUAAUUGAAAAACAAACAGGAGAGGAGCAUCAAAGAGGUCAGAGUACUGGGCAACAACCAGCUGAACAAAGGCAGACAGAUCCUCACCUGAAAAAUGCAGCGCAAACUGCGGACAAACGAGAUUCUGCCCAGAUUUCUGUGUAUGAAACCAUUGGGACUACGACCGUUUUGAUGGUAAAACAAAAAGGGAAUAUGAAGGUCAAGGAUGCCCAGGUAGCUAUGAUGGUGAACUCAACUCCAUAAAUAGGCAACCACAGCCUUCAUGCAGUAGCAAACAACAGCAGCAUCCCAAGAAUGCAGGUGGUCGACCGAUAGCUUCGAAGGAGAUUGUUCCUUUUGAUGCACAAAAAGCAGAAGCACACAGCUCUAAUACUCCUACUCAACAAUUUUCCAACCCUCAAGUAGAACAAAUCAUUAAGGAUGAUGAUGAAGGAUAUUAUUUUCAAACAACCGUUGGUUACGCUGAACAAAUCCGUUUGUGAUGUCCCCUCGCAAUCAAUGGAGUCCUGGGGUGAGUUUAAAGGGGAAUCUGGCCAACUCAUGAUAUCAACGUGAAAUAACAACGAGUCAAUACAACCAAAUGUGAAGGACAUGGUUGUGACCAUUUUUCUAAAAUUAACCUAUAUUGCUAAAAAUGCAAGAUUUGGCUAAGAUCCCGCGAAGUCAAGAACCUAAGAUUUACUAGGAAGACCGGACCCUAUGUGGGCUGCCUACGUAUCCCGUCCCGAGAGACGAGAAUCAGGUUCGCAUAGUUCGGGCCGAAUGGCUACGGGCGAGAAUUAAAAGAAAAACAAACGACUAAUCUAGAGAAAAUAUUUUUUUUAGUUUUUCCUUGAAGAAAAUGAUGAAACAUGCAAAAUCUUUUUGGAUUUCCUUUUUCCUUUUUUUAUUUGAUUUUCGAAAGAAUGAUAAAAAGUGUAAAAUCUUUGAAUCUUUUACGCUUUUUCUUAAUAAUAAUAAAAAGUAACAAAAACAUAACCAAGCCCUUAUUGCUUUAUUUCACACUUCACCCUCUUUUUCUUUUUCCUUCUUUUUUUUCUCUUUUCAUUUUCAUUUGCCUUCAACUAUCAUUGGUCUGCCAAAUGACCCUUUUAUCCUGAAUAAAUGCAAUAUGUAGCACAUAGGAUGCAUCAAGAUGGUCUGUUCAUUUCAGGUUGCUUGUCCUAGACGGACCCAACCCCUGUGUUGAGUCCCCUAAGUCAAAUGUCACGUGAUGCAAAUAAGCGUUCCUACCAGGGAUCCUGCAUGAAGUCAAGUUAUUCUAUGUUCACAACCUGGGUCAUUGUUCUAGACUGAUGCACAUGAUGCAAAUAAGCGUUCCUACUAGGGAUCCAGCAUGAGGCUACGUUAUUCUAGGUUCAAAACCUGGGUUUUUGUUCUAGACCUGGCUUACCCAAGUGGAUAGCUCGAGCCCAGGGGGAGCCAGCAUACCGGGAAUACAGAAGCUUCGCUGGUUUUGCAACUUAUCCAAACCUCGUUCUAAAUUGGCAAUUAUAAACUAUACAGAAAAGAAGUCGCACGAAGUGCACCCUUUUUCAUGAUUUAGAAGACUCAAAGAGAAGACGGGUUUCGGCACAAUUUAUAUACAGUUCACGUAAUAUCAAAUAGGUAAAAGCAGUCAACUAGCACAUUAAGCACUUAUCAUGUAAUAAAAUCAGAUAAAGCAAAACGCAACAAUUAUUCGAAGCUCGAAUUCUAAACCCUGAACAAAACGUUCUACGUUCUUGUUCCCAGCAGAGUCGCCCCUGUAUUCUUCAAUCCAAACGGCAUCAUCCUGUAGCAAUACAUUCCCCCAAGGCGUGAUGAACGCCAUUUUCUCUGCAUCUCCUUCAUCCAUCCAUAUCUGAUGAUACUCUGCGAAACAAUCGACAAAUGACUGCAAUUCAUGCUUGGCGCAGUUGUCGAUUAGAAUGUGUAUGUUUGGUAAGGGAAAAUCGCCUUUGGGGCUGGCCCGGUUGAGAUCCCGGUAAUCGACAUAGACUCUAACUUUCCCAUCCUUCUUAGGUACUGGAAAAAUGUUAGCUAACCAAGUUGGAUAUUCUACCACUUUAAGAACUUUGGCUUUGACCUGCUUGGUAACCUCCUCUUUGAUCUUUAGACUCAUAUCUGGCUUGAAUUUUCUAAGCUUCUGUUUUACCGGGGGACAUGCAGGAUCUUUAGGUAGUUUGUGAGCGACGAUGGACGUGCUGAGACCGGUCAUAUCGUCAUAAUACCAUGCAAUGAUAUCCUCAUAUUCCUUCAAGAACUCUACAUAUUUCUCUUUCUCUGUCCGUGACAAGUGCACACUGAUGCGCGUUUCUUUGACAUUCUCUGUAUCUCAUAAAUUGACGACUUCGAUUUCAUCCAAGUUGGACUUGGGCCUAUUCUCAAAGUUUUCGACCUUUCUGACAACCUCUUCUAGUAUAUCAUCUUCUUCUUAGAGUAUGUCCAUUUGUUGUAUAGCCUCGUUGCAAGUUACAGUUGUUGGUUCAUCAUCAAGAUACGUAAUAGCAAUGUUGUGUGAAAAAUAAAGUAAAUAGUAGAGAAAAGUAAUGAAUAGCGAGACAUUUGAGAAAAAUGAAAAUGCUUUUGAUUGAAUUAAUAAAUGUUCAAAACAUCGGGUCGCUAUUGGAAUGUAAAGACAAAUGCGGAAAGUAAAGGAAACAACUAGAAAUAAAAUGCAUGAUGCUCGUUCAGCUUGGUACCCCGAAGGUUUCCGGGCGAUGAUGGUCCUAAUUGACCAGUUGGUGAGGCGAUCUCCUUGGUUCACAGCCUGAAUGGAAGGGCCUUCCUCCCCUACCUCUUCAAAGAUCGCACAACAGUCCAUGUCAUCCUCCAGAAACAGGUUUUUCAUUGCUGCAAGAGCCUCAUCUUCCUCUGAACCAUGGAGAGUGUCGGCUAGCUAAAAUGUCUGCUCCAACUGAGGUAUGGGGUGUUCGAAUGGAUAAUAUGGGCCGCGCCAUGGUGGUGACCAGUUUCUAAAUUCUUUCCAAGUAUACUCGUAACCCAGUCCGAAGGUAGGACCAUGUUUCUUCAACUGGAUGGGUUUGGUAAUACCUUGAAGAUUAUUACCAAGUCUUUUCCCCGGUUCAUACCCACUCCAAUUAACAAUGCUCUCAACCUUGCGACUCCACCAUUUUUCUUAUCCACUGCAUUGACCCGCUCGAUAUGAUGAUAUGUCUCCCCGCCUAUUCUUCUUCUGCCUCCGAUCAUUNNNNNNNNNNNNNNNNNNNNNNNNNNNNNNNNNNNNNNNNNNNNNNNNNNNNNNNNNNNNNNNNNNNNNNNNNNNNNNNNNNNNNNNNNNNNNNNNNNNNNNNNNCUGGGGAAUGGUCUGGCGACUGUAUAUGGGGUUGCUACCGUCGCCAUGGAUGAUUACUUUCUGAUGGUUCCAAACUCAAUGUCAAACCAAGUGGGGCCCAUUUGCAAACACAUGCUAAUUUCCCCGAGAAUGGACCUCUGAGAACCGUCAAAAGCCUUAACAUUAAUAGCCCCAUCUUUUACCUCGUGUAACCCUUUGCCCAACUUCUUGAGGGUGAUCAGUGGAAAAAUAUUGAGACUAGAACCUCCAUCAACUAGGAUUCUGGUGAUGAAAUGGUCCUCACAUUGCACGGUGAUGUGCAGUGUUUGUUAUGACUGAGCCUUUCAGGCGGCAAUUCAUCUUCAUGAAAGGUGAUCUUUUGACUUUAUAUCUGCCCUACCAAGUUUGCCAUCUCUCCUCCCGUUAUGUUGCUCGGGACAUAAGCCUCACUCAAUAUCUUCAUCAAGGCAUUUUUAUGCGCCUCGGAACUCUGCAGCAAUGCUAAGAUGUACAUCUGUGCCGGAGUUUUGUUUAGCUGUUCAGCAACUGAGUAUUCCUUAGCCUGUAUCUUUCUCUAGAGAUCAUCAGGUCCGGUUUCCGUAGGGCAUCCAGAGGCCUGUUUGCUGGACUCAGCUAGGUGCUCUGGUGUGUACACCCUGCCUAUGCUAGUCAUACCUUGUGCGGCAAUUACUUCACCCGCGCGUGCUUUUCCUUUCCUUCUUGCCUCGGAUGUGUAGUCCCAAGGCAUGGCUUUGGACUGAAAUGGGAUUACGUCUAACAUGGCGACCGAAAUGGGUACCUUUGGAGGCAACAUAGUAACUUCAAUCGGUACGGGCACUUUUGGAGUCCCUGAACUCCACCUCAUUUGGUUUUUGUACCUUUGCAGGAGGUGUCUCGAAUUCCAAUGGCACAGCUAUAUUCACUAUGCUGUCCUCAGAUGGCUGGACUUGUACAACAAUAGUAUUAAGGGUGACCGCCGGUUUCUUGGGCUCAUCCCCUUCAGAUAUCAAACCAAUCGCCCCUUCGGGGUCCCAAUCGUCUUCUUCCUCAAUCAUGUGGAUGCUCCCACCUUUAUGGUCUGGCAGGGGGUUGUUGCAAACAUUUGGGGCAGGCUCCUUAGCUACGAUGACGUUGUUGUCGAUUAAGGUCUGGAUUAUGUCCUUUAACGAGCAGCACUCGACGAUGGUAUGGCCCUUCAUCCCCGAAUAGUAUGCCCAUGUUUUAUUUGGGUUAAUCCAUUGGGACGGGUACUCUGGGGUUAUGGCUGUGAUGGGUGUAACAUAUCUGGCGGCUUUGAGCUUCUCAUAGAGUUGGUCAAUGGGUUCGGCAAUAGCAGUGUAUUGUCUGGGUUGUUUGCGAUCAAAAUUUGGUCUUGGUCGUGGGAAGUUUUGACGGGUAGGUUGUGAUGGAUAGUAAGGAGGUUGGGGUGUGUAGGCUUGGUAUACGGGUGCGGGUUGGGAAUAUCCUGGCGAGAUGGGUUGGUAUGUUGGUGGUGGAGAUGACUGGUAGAUGGGCGGUGGAUUUUGGUAAGUAGGCAAAGGUGCUUGGUAAUUUAGGGAGAGUUGGUAAGUGAGUGGAGUUGGAGGGUAGUGUUGGUAUUUCAUGGGAGAAUGGUUUCUUUGCGCAACUAUUACGGAGUUUACAUCCUUUUUCUUCGAUGAACCACCGGAUUGCAAGGCUUUGUUGGUGGCAUGCAGUGCCUUAAGAUUGGUAACCAUACCAUUUUUAAUUCCCUCUUCAAUCCUUUCUCCCAGUUUGAUGAUAUCAGCGAACUUAUGCCCUUCUAUCAGCAUCAAUCUCUCGUAAUACUGUGGGUCCUGGGCACGAACAAAGAAUCUAUUCAUUUGUUCUUCUUCCAAAGCCGUCCUGACUUUGGCAGCUUCCGACCUCCAACGAGUAGAAUACUCGCGAAAGGUUUCAGUAGGCUUCUACUUCAAAUUCUGAAUAUAGAACACGUCUGGCGCAUUCUCAGUGUUAAACUUGAAACGGUCCAUGAAAUCGGACGCCAUGUUUACCCAACUUGUCCACUUUUUCGCGUCUUGGCUGAUGUACCAAGAUAAAGCAUCCCCUUUCAAACUUCUCAUGAAUAGCUUAAUGCAGAUCUUCUCAUCCUUACCAACCCCCACUAAUUUGUCACAAUACAUUCUGAGGUGAACCCUGGGAACACCCGUACCAUCAAACAUCUCAAACUUAGGAGGUUUGUACCCCUCUGGGAGUUCGACAUCAGGUUGAACACAAAGGUCUUCAUAUUUCAUACUUUCUACACCCUUAUUACCUUCUACACCUUGGUCCCUGUUAGUGAGUUUCAUGAGUUCCGCCGCCAAGUUCUGAAUGAGUGAAUGAUUCUGAUAUAUCUGGUAUGGGCUGUGUAUAGUAUGGCACGGUAUCCACAAAGAUAGGGGUAUCCUGGUGGUUUGGAGCAUGUUCAGGGAGGAGCGGUGGAACAUUGUUGCGGACUUGGGUUGGGGUGUUCUGCGGAGGUGCAAGGACCUGAUUGUUGACAUGUGCAACAGUAAGGGAGAUGGAUAGACUUGCCAAGCUCCGGACUUGGUCCAGUUCCUCUCGAAACCUUAGCAAAGUUCGCUCUUAUUGAGAAGCAGUUUCCUUGGUGAUUGGGGUACCCUGAGAAGUUCCUUCAAUUUCCUCUCUUGCUUCAUUAUCUGCCAUCUUUCCUUUGUUCCUGUUUCUGGGAGGACUCAGAGGAGGAGGAGGAGGACCCUUAGAUCUUGUUGAAUAUGUUGAUGGUGCCAUAAUGCAGGAACUAACCUUUGGGGAGUGGGAUAAAACAAAAGAAAAACAAAAAGGUAAAAAGUUAGUGCGGAUUCUGAGAAAAAGAACACUGCGAUAUGUAAACACGUUGCUGCAAGAAAUAAACCGUUUCCCAAGGUAGGCCUAGAGACAAAUAAUUAUUUGGAGAACUUAUAAUACCAAAUGCCUCAUUUUAUUGAUAGAAAAUAGAACGAGUCUAAACAAACUUAAACAAAGCAAUAUUGUCACUAAUGGCCAAGGGCUUUAUUACAUUGAUAAAGUAGUAAAAUCCUAACUACUUGGUCCCAGAAAGACCUUCCCUAGAUUCGGUAUCUUUGCGUUCCUCAUACAGCUUCAUUAGCUCGCGCAGUCCUAGCAACAAAUAAGCCUGAACCAAGCACCCACCUUCAUUACCUUCAGCUUCCUUACAGUCUUUGAUCCUUUUCAGAAACUUGCCUUCCAGCUCCACUAUACCCUGUUUCAAGUACCCUAAACGGUUGCUUGCAAGGAUAGCCAUGUCUUUACAUUCAUUGAUUACCUUCUCUUGAGCCUCUAGUACUUCCCGAUGUUCACUCUCGCACUCUCGUAUCCAUUUGUGUAGUUGAUUGUACUUGACCUUUGCUGCAGCCUACUCAUCAAUAACUCUAUGACCAUGGGAAAAACCUAUUUUUCCCAAGCCAAUAUUAUCAUCUUCUAACCAUCCCGAAUAAAGUGGCGCAUGACCCGCCUGAUACCUGUCUGGUUCCAUAGAUUCCUUUUCUAGAAUGAUUUUGGGGUGCCACAUAUGCUGAGCUCGGCACAUGUGUGGGCUAUCAUCAUCUUGGAAAUCAGCUCUGUAAUGACUCAUCUUUUUCACUCUUGGUAUAAUCUGCUUCCUUCCGGCUUGCCUCUCAGAGAGGGACAUAGGGGUAAGUUCCUAUCAAGCCGAUGAGUACAAGGAAUGGCGCAUCCGUAGACAUAAUGAUAAACUCUCCAGUGGAAAACAACUCGUACAUCCAUUGUACCUGCUCUCUUCUCAGAUUUCUUAAUAGUUCCACCCAUCCACUGACGUCUUCCGGUUGAGCAAACAUAUGCGGCGUGAAGUGCAUCCGCUUUGGAUGAUGGAAAGCGAUGUGAUCAUCCCAAUCCCGGCGUAUGAUCUCCUGCCUAUAUUUUCCCUUUUGAAGAUGUUUAAUGAGCUAGAGUUGUAGUAGUAGAUUGCACCCUUCAAAGUGUGGUGCCCCUUGCUGACAUUUCUCUAAGGCUCUGUACAGUUCCGCGAGGAUCAUGGGUGCUAUGUUGAACAUCUUCCCGUCGAUACCCUCCAUUACAGCUUUGGUUACCAUGGCUAGUCUUGUAUAGAUCCUAGCCUUCUUCAUCGGGAAAAUUAUCAUUCCCAAAAAAGAGAACAUGAACACAAAAACCCUCCUAUGUAUGUGCCCCAAAGAGGUGAGGGCGAACUCGUCCAUGUGAUUGCAGUAUGAUUCGCUAUGUCCGAACCUUUCAUACAUGAAGUCGAAGGAUAUGUAGGAGUUCUUCAAGCUGGUCAGAUUUGGAUUCUUUUUUAGCCCCAUCAGCUUCAAGAACCCUCGACCUUUGCGGUUUUCUACCAUGAGCAACCCCGGGCUAUCCCAAGGAAUUCCAGCUAAACCCCCAAUUUCCUCCAACAGCAAUGUCAUUUCAAUAUCCCCAGAGUGGAAGACAGAGGCUAUCCCAAGGAAUUCCGGCUAAACCCCCAAUUUCCUCCAACAUCGGCACCAUUUCAAUAUCCCCAAAGCGGAAGACAGACCGUUCACUAUCCCAAAACAUAGUAGUAGCUUCCACGAUCUUGUUAUCUGGCGUAACUUCUAGGAGUGAAGGAAGAUUUCCUAAGUGUUUGCGGAUGACAACCCGAUCACUACCAUGCAAAUCGUCCCACCAACUUAGCAACUUUGGAUGAAUGUUUGAUACCAUACCGAACCUGGGGACCUCCUGCCUCAUUUCCUGCAAAACGGAGAGUUAGGCCCUCAACCCCGCGGGACUCGACUAUUUAAUUCAAAAAUUAACAAAAGUUAUUUAGUUCUCCGAACCAAUGCACACAACGUGAAUGUCUGAAACGUAGGGACCUCGUGCCUCAUUUCCUGCAAAAUAGAGGGUUAGGCCCUUACCCCACUGGACUCGACUAUUUAGAUUAAUAAUUAGUAAAAGGUAUUUAAUUCUCCAAAUCAAUGCACACAACGUGAAUGUCCGUUUGGGUUUCGAGGAAACCCGAUGGACUUUACAAAAUAGAGUGUUAGGACCUUAACCCCAUCGAACUCAACUAUUUAAUCAAUAAUUAGCAAAAGGUAUUUAGUUCUCCAAAUCAAUGCACAUAACGUGAAUGUUUGUUUGGGUUUCGAGGAAACCCGAUGGUCUUUUAGUUUAGGCUAUCCUAAUUAGUCAUUAUGUGGACAACAUAACUUACUCGGCUAAGUUUGACCAUGAUGCAUGAACAAUUAAAUGGAGUAAGGUUUCUGCUUUGAAGUCCUAGACAAGGUACCCAUGAGCUGACAACUCAAGAGGGAAAGAUGCGGAACCGUCGACUACACCAUUGAUCGACUGGUUUUACCGCAAAUAUGCCUUUGCCGAAUUUAGGGGAUUUGUAUUGGAAGGGAGAAACCACUCAUUAUAAGCGUUGCUAUAGGAUUUGUUUGGCACGAGUGGUAAAUGAUGUUGGAGGAUGCAAUUACAACAAGGAAAUAAGUACAUGUAUUUUCACGUCAUACAAUAAUGACAAUGAAUGCUUGAAAAUAAAGACAUAAUUGAAAUGAGGUAAGUACAAUAAAGCCGUUAAAAUAUUCAAAGAAAAAGAAAGACAUGAAGAAACAAGUAAGUAAUUGUGAAAAUGAUAAAAGAAAAGUAAUUGAAGUAAUAAAUAAAGAAAGCGGUAAAGUCACAAAACGCGUAGUGGUAAAGGCCUGAAAGAAUUCCCCAGAAGAGUCGCCAUGCUGUCGACGCCCCUUUUUUCAAAGGCAAAAUCGGGUUUUAGGACAUUAUGGGCAAAGCAACUCUAUUUCCCGUUUGGGAAUUGGGUUACGAAAUUGGAAGAGUCGUCACCUAAUGAUUAUAGUGCAUUAGGACACCUUAAGAUGAAGAGAGUGUUUUGAGAGAGAAACCCGAGUUGGGUAAGGGCUUGAAAUUAUCUCGAGGAGAAGGUGUUAGGCACCCCUCGAGAUCCACAAAUGUGGUUCCCGGCCGUGCUAAUUGUGACUUUAAAAAGAAUAAGAAGCAAGUAGACAAAUGAAGUGCACAUAUUUACAUAAUUUUUAAGCUUUAAAGAAAAGGACAUAAGUUUGAAAUAAGAGAGAGGAUUAAUUUGAAAAGCAUCAGGAAAGCAUUUAAAUAAAGAACGUAAGAGGAAGAGGGGUCAUAGUUUGACUAUAAUAUGGAUCAUUCGAUGCAAUAUCUAGCUCAUAUCUAGCUCAUAUCCCAAAGAGGGGUCGCUUCAUGAUAUUAUUGCCUCGUCAUCAUCUCCAUAUUCUACCCUUCCGGCCCCGUUAAGGUAUUAAAGCGCGGUGGAAUCGUUUACUUAUUGCAUGCUAAUACUCGUCCCAACCUGUUAGUCCCGGGGUAUUAGGACUUCUAAUCCUAAGAAAUGGGGAGAAGGAAGUAGGAUACAUAUAUGGAGUAUUCAAAGGUAAAAUACUAGCGCGACAGUCAAAAACAAGUAGCAAUAAGAGUGAUGCAAAUAAACGAUACACAUAUAGAGUAUUCAAAGGUAAAAUACUAGAGCGACAGUUAAAAGAAAACAAGUAGCAAAUAAAAGGGAAGCACAUAAACAAUUAAGGCUCAAGUAAACCCCAUGACAAUUAACAAGUAGUUUAGCAUGACUUCAAUUACUGAUUUGGUCUUUUAAAAAAGAUUAGGAGAGCGGGCAGAUUAGUUUAACGCAUAAGAGUUGGGAUAGAAAAUCUGCUUCGAGCUCCCUGGGCCCGUUUUAGAAGUUGACAGGCUUUAUUAAAUCAGUAAGACUUUAGAGGAAAAGAUGACAAUUGCAGACAGGAGUCGACUUAAAAUACUUGGAGUUGUUUACAAGUGUUACAAAAGGAAAACACGAGUUUCAGCUGGGAGAUUUUAAAAACUGCGGAUGAGUUUGAGAAAAAGGUAUGCAAAUCAAUUGUAAAAGUUCAAUAACUGACUGUAGGAAGUUUUGAAAUACUUUGGAACACAACAAAUAGUUACAGAUUCAGUAUAGAAGACAACCUAUAGACUCAGAGUUUUACGAAAGGGGGGAAAGGGGGGAAGCAGACCUGGCCUGGUUUGAUGGUAAAUAGAUUUAGGAUGAGUUGAAAACUGGGUUGUUCGAAAACAUUAACGGUCUAAACUUGAUCUUUUAACCCUUGAGUUGCUGUUUUUUGACCAUUAGACGUCCUGCUAUUUGCCUAGCGUUUAUAUAUCUCCUAUAGGCGUUCUUUCUAGGUGAGAUUAUAAGAUGCAAACCUAAGAGCAUGGUUUCUAUAUGGGUUGAUUCAAUAUGGAACACCUUACAGACAGGGCAUCUAUAUGAUAUGCAACAGUGUGGGAAAUAGGUAUGGUAACAGUACAUAUAGGUAAAGUAAAGGUCCUAUAGUCAUGGUUUCUACUGAUGCAGAGAUGAAUAAUCCUAGAGUCAUGAUUUCUAUAUGAUUAUUGGUGCAAUAAAAGUAGACUCCUAUAGGCAGGUUAUCUACAUGGAUGCAACACUGAUAAAAUAUAGACAUAUCAUCUUGAAUUGAGACUGAUGCAAACGUAUGGACAUGGUAACUACCAGCCCUAAAGCAUCCAAGUUUAGAGGAGACUCCAAGGUCCCUAAGCAUGGCUUGCCCAAGGGGGGUAGGAACUUAAAGGGGCUAAGAAUAUGUGCAAAGUGGGGAUAAAAGGGAAACCAGUGUAUGAAGUGGUCAUACCCAGCCUAUUGAAUGAGAAUGGCACACGCAAGACUCCUUACAAAUUUUACAAGCAGGAGCAGACUUGUAAACAAGUCAGACAAGGGCAUGAGAGGUGAUUAAGACACCAACAAGACUUUGUCCAAGCUCAAACACAUAAGAAAGGGGAUGGGAUUGCUUUGAGUCAAGGCUAUUGACAGCCUUGGUUCCAAACUAGAGAUGGUAAUAAGGUGCCACCCUUGUCCAGAACAAACUCUUAUACAAAUAAAGAGCAAGGGAAUCAUAUAAACACUUACCAGACAAAAUUAAAUUAAAGCAUAAUAGUGCACAAUCAAAGGAGAGUAUUUAGUAGGAUGGAUUUAAUAACACAUUGAAUGGAAGAACCCUAAGGAAAGGGGAAUAAGGUAUUAACAUGCUGAGUUUUAAGAUAAACAGGUGAGGGGUAAUAGGGAAAGGGUUUAACAUAACUAAAUCUACAGCAUGAACAAGGGAGUAAGGGGGUAGGGACUUAAAUUUACAUGAAAUACUGAACUUAUCACACAAGGGGAAUAAAGGGAAGGGAAUUAGGCAUGAUAGACCUUAAGUAAAGUAUUGAAAGAAACAAGCAAAGGGAAAGGGGAAGGGAUGUACAUGCAGAAAAUAAGCUAUAAGUAUGUCAGGCAAAGACAGGGUGAAAGUAAACAAGUAGUUGAAGGAUUAGUAAUUGAGAAUAGAACCUACCAGUUGCACUUGAGUGACAAAAGUAAAAAGAAGUUCUAUAACUAGCCUUGAUUUGCAGCCAGCUAGACUUUGACAAAGAGAGCAAGUAGCAAAUAGAGAGUUUUUGUGAGCAAGAGUAGAGAGGACUCGAGAAUCAGUGUAUGUGUUUAUGUAUUGAAUUGAAGUUGUUCAUGAAAUAAAGGGUGGUGGUAUUUAUAGUUUGAAAACAAACAAGAAAAUAAGGCAAGAAAAAUUCAGUACCAAUUAGAAUCAAUCAGAAGAAGGGAACUCCUUUAAUUAAGGAGUUCAAAUUUGAAUAGGAGAGGAAAAAGUUGUAUUAAAGGAAAGAAAAUCAAUGACACAUGGUGCAAUCAAGGGUAAAUACAUGAGAGAAGCUUUUAAUACUACACGAUUAAUCAUGGUGCAAUCAAUGGUAAAUACAUGAGAGAAACUUUUAACACUGCAAGGUUUGGUAAAUAAGGUAAAGGCUAAAUCAAUUAUCACCUAGUAAAUCAGGGAUUCAAAGAUUCGUACUUAAUAAUGAACUAAGUCAAGAAUAGGUCCAGAUCAAAUGAAGGAAGAAUCAAAAAAGGUUACACAGUAAAUCAGUCCCCUAGAAUUAAGGUUAUCUUGAAAGGAAUGGCCUGACUAUAAAGAGAUGCACAUAUUUAAGCAUGCGAGGCUAAAUAAACAUAGUAGAAAAGCACAGUCACAAAAUCCAUAGGUCUUUUUAAGCUUCACAAGAAUCAAAGAGUUUAGAGAAUUAGGGUUCCAAAAUCAAAUAGGCAGCAAACAAUUGCACACGAAUAAUGUGAAACCCCCAAAAUUUAGGGUUUUUCCCACAAGUCGAGUCUAAAAGGCAAAUGCAUAGCGAAUCAGUCAAAGAGUAAACUCAAAAAGCCUAAAGAACACAAACAUUUGUGAAAGCUUGAUGAAAGAAGAACAGUGAAGAAACUACUCAAAAACCCUAGAAAAUAUAGUGAGCAGGAUACAUAGAAAACACAGAUAAACACUUAGGAAUUACAGCGAAAUAAAAUAAUGGAAGUAAUCACAAUGGAACAAGUAGAAAUCAUAGAAACCCUAAGUCUUGAGAAGAUGAACAAGUUCUUUUGAAAACACGACUAGGUGGAGAAGAGGAUGAGAGGUACUUAAAAAACCAUAGAAAACACACAAAAUCAAAGAAAAUCAUAAAAUAAUAAAGAGAAGCAGGAGAAAGAACCUCUAAUCGAUUAGCGUUUUCACAGGAACUUUCAAAAAUGGCGAGAAAAGCCUGAACGGCUCAUCGGAGCUUGGCAAAGAUCCAAGGCUUCAAAGACUUGCCGGAGAACAACCGUAAAACUCCAUUGAAGGGACCUCUGGUCCAGUUAACCUUGAAUCAAACCCUGCUCUUCGAACCAUAAGGUCAGGAACGGUGAUAAAUGAACGAGUAUGCGAAUUUUCCGCCAUAGAAGCCGGCGAAGAAGCCUGAAAGUGACUAGGGUUUAGAGAGAGUUUAGAGAGCAUUUUGGGAGUGAAAGACGGCAUCCAAAUGAAAGUAAUUCUGAUUUUCCACCAGCCAAUUUCCCACCAGGCGUCUCUCCUGGAAAAUUCGUGGAAUUAUUGAUAUUUCCCAUGAAUUUCCUACCGAUUCUUCCGUGGGAAAUGGUUGUAUUUCUAGUAGUGGCCAAUCCGCCGCCAGACCUUGAAAAGAAACCUCAACGUACUGUUAACAACCUCGGUGAUCAUUUAAACCAGCUUCGAACCUCAGCUCACAGCCAUUUUUCAAACCAAAUCCGAAAUCAAAGAUGAUAA
rnacentral:lncRNA from 1 species